rnacentral:lncRNA from 10 species
GUGCCAUUACUGAUGCUGUGCUUAAUUUCAAAUCAUAGUCUGGUCAUCUGAUUCUUUUAUGCCAAUAUUUAACUAUAUUCAAAGAACCUGUAACAUUGUUUCCCAGAGUAUAAUCUGUAAACGACCUGCCUCAAAAACCCAAGAUGCUUGCUGAGAAUAUAGACUCUGACAGCAUCCCAGCUUCAGUGCAUCAGAAACUGUAGUGGUGGGAUCCGAUCCGGGAAUACAUAGUUUCUUUAUAAGCUUCCUGAUGUUUCUUAAGCAUGCUGAUGUGUGAUUGUUCUCAAACCUUUCUAAAGUGCAUGAGAAUCACUUUGAAACAUUUAAAAUGCACAUCCUCAGGGACUGGGAUUCAGUAUUUCUGAGUUAAGCCCAGCAAUCCACAUUUUUAGAAAGAACUCUGGUAGUUCUGAAAUAGGAGCACACUUUUAGCCACACUGCAUAGAGCUUCUAGGUGCUCGACGAUGCAAGCAGCUCUACUUCCCAACUCUUCACUACUGCUAUGUCUCAGUUUUCUUUCAACUUACAAGUCCUGGCCUUUCCCAUUCUCUCUCUGGUUUGUUUCUCAGGGCUGCUUCCCCUCAUCCUUUCCAUUCCAGGUCAGCCUUCUCUAUUGAUUCAAAUGCACAAGGAAGCUUCAUUAAGAGUAAAGAUAUUUCAGUGAAUAUGCAGCUACAGUAGAGAUAAAUCACAAAUAGAAUUCUCAUUGUUCAGGAUGUCCUUCUCAAAUGGAUCAUGUUGGACUACUUCCUAUUGACCUGAAAAUCUUGCCACUAGACCCUAAGACUUGGAUUAUAGUUACAGGGCUCAGUCCCCAUAGUCUGCCUUUCAAGUUUAGGUAUAGCUAAUACGUUAAUUUGUACUACAGGCAAUUGUGGGAUCCAAGCUCUUCUAUUACCAUUCUUCGAACUCUGUCUAGUCUCCCAGUCCACCACAGUAAUUUAUGUCCAAUUUCCCAUUUUUAAACAGUUUUAAACCCUUAUUUUACAGUUUUAUUUCAAAAAUACAGGAAAUUUAACACUAUAACAGAAACUUGGGGGAUAAAGAAAAUUAGGGAAAAAUUACAAAAGAACCCUAAGUAAUGCAUUUAUUUUCAUUUUACAGACAAGGAACCUAAAGAGCAAUGAAUAUCAUCCCACAAGUACUUUUCCAUGCAUCUAUAUGUACCUUAAUUCAUAUGCAUAGAUUUCAACCAUGGUUUUGUAUGUGAUGUUUUCCCUAAUAGUCAUCAAUCCAUCUCUCCACUUAUUGAGUCAUCUGACAAAUAUUUAUUUUUGCACUACAAUGCAACAACUUUGGUUUAUAGACUUUUAAAAUGUUUGCUGAUAUGCUAAGCAAAAUAUGAUACAACAUUGUUUAAUUCAUUUUUUCUUUCUAGUAAAGCUGAACUUGUUUUAAAAAUAUUUACUAAUCAUAUUCUAUCACUUUUGAGGUAUCCCUUAAAUAUUUUGCCUAUUUGCCAUUUGUGUUUUGAGUCCUUUGUGACUUUUUAUUUAUAUGAAAACAUUACGUAUUACAAACAUCUAUCCUUCAUUGGUCAUAAGUGCUGUAAUACUAAUUAAUUAACUAAGCUACUACAAUUUGAGGUAAGGUUCAUAAUUGUCUUCCUCACAGGUUCUCUUUAGGCCUCUGUAAUACCUGAGACACUGUCUUCUCUACAGCCCGGUUGUUAUAUUGCCCUUUUAUUUGUUAUUUUUUAAGUUUUCAUUUAAAAGAUUCUCUUUUUAAUCUAUUCCAAAGUGUUGGAAGCUGACCUAUACAAGUUCCUUCCACCCACUCUUCCAGUACAGUUUUCUGAGGACACAUAGGACAUAUUUUUUUAAACAGAAAAACAAAAAGUGGACCUUCUACUGAAACCAGGUAGGACCAGAGUCAGCUCCACAGGCCCCUGUGGCAGUUUUGCCAAAGCAGGCCUUAUGGAGUGAGUGUGUGAAGUCAGGGGAAUUGAACCCUCCCUCCUGUGAGGAAAGGGCUGAGUCAACUCAUGUUCUCUUUAGUGAAAUAAUUCAAAUUCAGUUGGGAAAGCCUCCAUUAUGACAUUCCCCGGCACCCUUCUUAUACUUUAGGUAUUGAAGGCAGCUCCCUCCUUUAUGGUUGGUUUUAGUAGACAAAGAAACAAAGGAAUACAGUAUAUACAUAAUAUAUAUGUAUACAUACACACACAUAUUUAGGGGGAGGGAAAGGAGAGGAGGGUCAUAUAAACCUAAAACAGUUAUCACAUAUCUCAUUACCGCCAAAUGAGCCUGUAUCAGGUUCACGACUAUGCCAAAGGUCAUGAUGAGGUCUGGAGGGAGUGGGUGGGCAAGCAGAAAGAACACUCGGGGGGCCGUAGGCAGGUGAAAGAUGAUUUUAUUCAGCAGCACUUCUCAUCAACAGCUUUCUCACGCUAGCUCUCUACACUGUUCGCCUGUGUCUCGGCUGUCUGCUCCCGCUCUGUGGCCCCUGCUGCCCCGACACCUGCAGCUGUAUGGCCUGCUCUCCCUUGGCCUCAGGGUCAACAGCUUAACUCUUUCUCUGGGCACAAGCAAUCCAAGCUGUAUCCUGGCUCCCCAGGGAGCAUCUGCAAAUAUGGACAGCCCUGACUCUCUCUUUCUGUGGACGCCAGCACGCCCGCCAUGUCAAGCCAUGUUGAGCUGAGCCGAGCCCCAAGAGCCAUGUCUCUUGUGCACAGUGUCGACAGGGCAGUUCUACCUUUUACAGCAAUAGUGGCUCAGAGCCAAGUAUGAACUUACACAAACAAGUUAUAUAACAAGUGGAGGUGCACACUCACGCACCAAACUCGCUUGGAUAUCCACCUUGGCCUAUUCCUUGACCAAAGCACAUCCAUGUACCUUACACUCCACCCCCUAGGCUGAGGGAAACAUAGGCCCUGGACACACAGGUUUUAUACACAGGUUUGGCACACAGGCCUGGCAUAUAAGCUUUGGGCACACAGGCCUGAUACAUACACAUAGGCUUCUGGGCACAUAGGCCUGACACAUAAGCCUUAUACAUAGGCUCUGGGCACACAAGCCCAUCACAUACAUAAGCUUCAAUAAACUGCUCGGCUGUUGGCACAGAUUACCAUAGGUGUUGCAACAUUGGUGAUUACUGUUCACAUUGCCCUGAGUGCAGCUCAUUAGCUACUUUGCCUACACCUGGUUUUAACCCAUAUGGUGUUAGUACUAGGCUGGACUGUGGCAGCAAUCCAGGCAGCAGUAGCUCCCUGCCUACACAUAUCUGUGUACCAAGCCCUAUUAGGAAUGGGAGAAUGCCCUUCCUAAUGAUGAAGGCUUAGGGUUUAGGGGUGCCUCAGGCCCCAUGGCCUUACUUGGCAUUAGGACUACAGGUCCCAAGACUUCCUGUAACUCUACUGCUAAGGGACUUGUAAUCAGUGUACUUUACUGCUGUAAGUAGGCUCCCCACUUUGCUAAAGUGGAUGUCUGUGCUGUCCCAGUCGAUGGGGUCAUUACCCACGAGUGUACCCACCCCACUGUUGGGAAAGUUGUCUGCCUGAUGAUUGUAGCCAUUCCUGCCAUGCUCUUAUGAGCCUGAAGGGCAGUAUAUACAGUUACUAACUGCUUUCCCUGUCCAGGGGGUGGUUAUCCAUGAACACACCCAUCCUAUUAUUACUAACUGCUUCUGUAUCAAGGAAUACUGGAGCUCAGCUCCCUUGCAUAAUUGGGACCAAAAGCCUACUGGCAUACUCAGGCACUCAUGCACUGCCAUAGGCCCUAACUGAAACUAUCUGUGGUCACAUGCACAUCUAGCUUAAAUGGGCACCUCUGGUCAACUACCCAUAGGGCUUGUGCUUGCUGAAUAGCCUACUUGGCUACCAGGAAGGCUGUCUCAGCUGCAUCAUCCCAAUCCCAGGCAAGAAGGGCAUUGCUGCUUCUAAACCUGCAAGAGAAUCAGAAGUGAAUAUAACAUUAUUAACAAGACCAUGACAUAUGGUGGGGCUAUGCAUAUAAGCCCUGAAGCAACACUGUGAAAGUCCGUCGUCACCCUCCCAUGAAGGCAAACUGUUCCUGGCUCUCUGGAGCAAUGUCAAUGGAGAAGAAUGCAUUAGCCAAGUCCCAUCACAAAGUGGUACUGUCCCAGUUCCAUUGUCAAACAGCCAUCAAGUCUAUGAUGGAAGGUCCAGCUGCAUGCAGAGGGGAUGUUGCUUUAUUCAGUUCCUGAUAAUCCACUGUCAUCUGCCAAGUUCCAUCAGGCUUUUUGACUGGUUAUACUAGAGAAUCAUAGGGGUUAUGGGUGCACCUCCUCUAACUUCUUAUUAGUCUCAGUUAUCUCUGUGUGCUCCCCCGCCGCCCCCCAGUAAACGGUAUUGAUGAGUGGAAGUAAGUUGUUGGGGUUGUGGCAGAACUUGGGGCUGGUGAUGUGUAUGGAGUACUGGCUUUACUACACGAACCAGGAUUCCAAAUUCUCUGGCUGUGGUGUGUAAGUCCAGAUCAUGCAAAAUGUCCACCCCCAGAAUAUAUUCAUGUAUAGGAGAAACAUACAGAGUGUACAGGUGGAUAGCAGAGUAGCCAAUGCCAAUAUAGAUUCACCAUCACAGAUUGGCCCCCAUAACUGUCAAUGAAUGCAGCUUUUCCCAGAAACUUAUCCAGGUUCCCAUAAACUAGACUGCAGUCUGCACCAGUGUCUACCAGUGCUAGGGCCCGCUGUACAUUAGUAGGGGACCAGAGGAUUGCCAGCUCCUCAUAUAGCCUCCAGUUGUCCAGUUCCCCUGAGUUGGGCAACUCAGCCAGUUCCCUAAUCAAACAGGAAAGGCCUAAUGUCUUCUCCCAUCUGCAAAUAGUCCUUGAGCUGAAAAGUUUCCAGGUGGGGCUGGGUUGAACAACAUUGUCUUGCCCCUCCUUGGGCAUUCUUCAGAAUUGCAGCUCUGGGGACGAUUGCCUCCACAGAGCCAACAGCAUUCCAUUGGGUUGCCUGUCAAUUUUCUCUCUAGUAACCCCAGCUGCAAGUAAAUCAAUCCACAUCCGCAUGUGGGUCACCCGCCUGGGCCCCUUUUAAUCUCGUGGAUGGUUACUUGUGAAGGGUGCACCUUCCAUUUCUUUACGGCGUGGACUCCCAGGUCCCGCCAAUGGCCUUCUGCCUCCCCAAGGGCUGCCAUAGCAAUAGUCACUUUGUGUAUGCGGUGUCCUACAUACGGGGUGAGAACAGCAGCUAGAGGGCCAAAGCAUCCGGGGGUGCUGAACUCAGCACAAGAUCCCUCAUAGGGGAGGUAAAGCGUUCAUCAUCUGGCCCCAGAUAUUCUGAUCAAACAGCCUGCUGCAUAUUGCAUAUCCGUCUCCCGGAGCACCUGCACCAAAUCAGUAUAUGAUUGCCAUUUACUCACAGUUUCUGGGGUCUCUCUGGCAUCAUUCCAAACAGUCCGUAUGGCUGCCGUCAGCCACUUGAUUUACAUGUAGUCACUUUGCCCUUGUGUUAACCGUUGGCACAGCUGCAGCCGCCGAUGAAGGGAAGGGUGAGUUGUGAUAGAAGCCAGAUUCUCCAUCUCAGAGGCGGAGCAAGAAAUGCUAUCAGCUCCUUCAGACGCUGCCAGACUGUUUACCUACUUCCCUCAAAUCAGUGGGGGUAUAAGCACUAUAAGAGGUAUGUGCCACCACUGUGAGGGGUCCUGGGAUCUCGCCUGCGGUCCCAUUGGCUGCUCAUGUUCUACCUUCUGAUGGAUCACAGGGUGAUCCAGCAGUGGAGGAACCUCCUCCUCAGCAUCAGACUGAAUCGGAGUGUCCCGCCAGGAGGAUGGGCUCAAGGCCGGGCUGACAGCUGUUGCUAAAUCCUGUUCCUGGCUAUUUAUCUGGGCCUCUAAGUGCCCUGCUUGCACCUGGAGGUCCCCCACCCCCAGGUCCUGCUCCAAGCUGUGCACUUGGGCCCCCAGGUGCUCAGCUUGUCCUGGGAGGUCCCUUACCUGUGGAACUGAGCAUGUACUUCCUGCAGUGCUGUCAGAAACGCCCAUCCGACGCUGCCAGCAAAGGUGCAUUCCUUCUUGGUGCUGUGUGCUCGCACACUUGCAGGAGACCUCUCCACUGCCUCCCGCGUUUCCACUGGGGCUCAUCCAAGCAGCACCGCUGCCCCUGGGUACAGCCCGUGCUGCAGCCACAUAGCUGACCCAGGAGCCCUCAGGGGCCAAAGACCUACUCACUUCAUCCUGCCAACGUCGCAAUUGUCAGGAUCAAAAUCCAAAUUGACUGUAUGAUCAUCACUGGCAUCUUCCAAAGUUGCUUUCAUCAGAAACUAUGUCCCAGCAUUCCAGCCCCACCACUGUCCCUACCAACCCUUUGAAGCUUCUACUUCUCAAUUUUUCCUCCAUCUGGUCUAUCACCCAUUCUUUUGCCAUUAUUUUCUGCCUUCAUACCUUGUAUUAUUGCAAAAUUAAUUUCACUGGCCUUUUUGCUAUUGUUGAUAUCAGAAUCCAUUUGAUGCAGUACUCACCAAGCAUUUUGAGCCCCCUAAACCUUCUGAAGACCCCUUACCAAUCUGUUUCUGUAUUGGCUUCUAUCAUUCCAAAUUUUUUGCUUCUGUUGGUACUGACAAUGAAUUAUAUACCCCCUUAUGCACUAUAUUCCCACUGCCUUGCAUGUAGAAAGUGUUUAAUAUGAGUUAAUUAAAUAAGUUAUUGAAUAAAGCAGACUUGCUAGUCUCAAUAUUUUAUAGUUCCCAUCCGUCAUUACAGGUGUUUUCUUCUCUCCCUAAUUACUCCUUCUACUACCAUGUUUGUUUUCUGCUGCUUUAAACUAUUUAUGUUAAGUC